rnacentral:rRNA from 1 species
CAGCAGUAGCCACGGGAAUACGAAGGGGGCUAGCGUUGCUCGGAUUUACUGGGCGUAAAGGGCGCGUAGGCGGACAGUUUAGUCAGGGGUGAAAGCCCGGGGCUCAACCUCGGAAUUGCCUUUGAUACUGGCUGUCUUGAGUACGGGAGAGGUGAGUGGAACUCCGAGUGUAGAGGUGAAAUUCGUAGAUAUUCGGAAGAACACCAGUGGCGAAGGCGACUCACUGGCCCGUUACUGACGCUGAGGCGCGAAAGCGUGGGGAGCAAACAGGAUUAGAUACCCGCGUAGUCCCUGUCUCUUAUAA